rnacentral:rRNA from 1 species
AGAAUCAACGCUGGCGGCGUGCCUAACACAUGCAAGUCGAACGAGAAAGUGGGGCAAUCCAUGAGUAAAGUGGCGCACGGGUGAGUAACACGUGACUAACCUACCCUUGAGUGGGGAAUAACUUCGGGAAACCGAGGCUAAUACCGCAUAACACCUACGGGUCAAAGGAGCAAUUCGCUUAAGGAGGGGGUCGCGGCAGAUUAGUUAGUUGGCGGGUAAUGGCCCACCGAAGACGGUGAUCUGUAU